GAUGAACGCUGGCGGCGUGCUUAACACAUGCAAGUCGAACGGUGAAGCAGGAGCUUGCUCCUGUGGAUCAGUGGCGAACGGGUGAGUAACACGUGAGCAACCUGCCCUGGACUCUGGGAUAAGCGUUGGAAACGACGUCUAAUACCGGAUACGAGGCGUGGGGGCAUCCCCAACGCCUGGAAAGAACUUCGGUCCAGGAUGAGCUCGCGGCCUAUCAGGUAGUUGGUGAGGUAACGGCUCACCAAGCCUACGACGGGUAGCCGGCCUGAGAGGGUGACAGGCCACACUGGGACUGAGACACGGCCCCGACUCCUACGGGAGGCAGCAGUGGGGAAUAUUGCACAAUGGGCGCAAGCCUGAUGCAGCAACGCCGCGUGAGGGACGACGGCCUUCGGGUUGUAAACCUCUUUUAGCAGGGAAGAAGCGAAAGUGACGGUACCUGCAGAAAAAGCACCGGCUAACUACGUGCCAGCCGCCGCCGCAGUAA
rnacentral:rRNA from 1 species